rnacentral:lncRNA from 1 species
AUGUUCACACGGCGUUCUUCCUUAGCACGGCAGCGGCCUGGGAAGCAGUUCUACCAAUCACAAAGCGCCGGAAUAAACUUUCUCAUUACCUUCUGCUCGGAGAUUUCGCUGGCUGCAGGCUUGAUCUCCUCUUUCUUGUCUUCCUUGAGGGGUUCUUCCUUCUUUGGCUCCUCUUUCUUUUCCUCCUUCUUCUCCUCCUUCUUCUCUUCCUCCUUCUUCGGUUCUUCCUUCUUCUCUUCGGCUACGGGUUUGGCGUCCUCGGCCUUUUUGGCUUCGUCGACGACGGGGGCGGGGGGAGGAACUGCGACAUCCUUGGCGGGCUCGCUCGGGGACGCGGCGGCGGCGGGCGUUGGUUUGGCCUCGUCGGCCGCCGGUUUGGCCGCCUCGCUCUUGGGGGCGUCAGCGGCCACCGGGGCGACCUGGGCACUCGCGUCGCUCACCUUCGAGUAGUCCUGUAUGACCGGCGGCGCAACCUCCUUCUUCUCGUUGAUCGGGUAGCCGUAGGCGCCCACAGCCAGAAGCGCUAAGCCCAGCAAAGCCCACUUCAUCCUGGAACAGGGAAUAGAAUGCACGGGUCAGAGGGUGUUUACAAAACACACGGAAGCGGAAAAUAAGGCAUAGAGAAAAAAGGAGGUGUUUGCAUUUCGGGCAUCUUGGAAUUUCUUUGAUGACGUAGGUCGGUACAGCGACGUUUAUCAUCGAUUUUCUUGGAAAUAAUGUAAUUUAUGGAAAAAAGUCAUUCAAUAAAAAGUGCUUGAAAUUAUAUCAUAAGUUGAUUUAAGCAAAAAAUGGGACAUUAUGGUCCGUUUUUCUUACUUCGAAUCCCGGAUUUUGCUGGCCAGGUUGUACCGACGUACGUCACAGGGUGAACAAACCUCAAGAUGCAAACACCUCCUUUUUUUUUCUCUAUGAAAAUAAGGCACCGCGCAGGCCGCGUCACAGAUCUUCCGUGAUAGCGAAGAGAGCCGUAAGUGCAAAAUUUUCGAAAUCGAGUUUUCUUCAAAAUUCGUCUAAACUCUUUCAGAUAAACUUACUGAGACUACCUAAAACAGCAAAAUUCAUCCUAAUUUAAUGAAAACAAGACGUAUGAAAAAGCCGUAAGUGCACAAAAAAUGACAC